GGCUUUCUUCACAGAGGACCAUGCCUGUCAGGACUCAGCCCUGCUGUUGUUCAUGUCCUGCUUGGUGGGAGUCCUGAAACUGCAACUGUUCAACUGGAGGACUGUCCAGACUUGGACAUCAGAGAAUCAAUCAGACUUCUUGAAGGGGAAUCCAAACUCUCAGAUAAGGAUAAAAUAAGUGUCCAGGACUUGGCCUAUGCCUGGGACCUCACUUCUCUGACUGAGAACAACAGGAGAUGGCUUUUUGAUAAGCUAUUGAUCCAUGCUGUAAUCGGACGUGUCACAAGACAAAUCAAGCAGCUGAGACGAGGUCUUAAAGAAACCCCAAUGUGAACCGUGCUGACCCAACGACCUGACACAGUGG